CUGACCCCGGGAGCACCGGGACAGCGAGGGCUGCAGACCCCGGGUGGGGGAGCGGCACCGGGUGACGUUUGAGGGUCCUUCCAACUCAAAGCACUCUGUGGUUCUGUCACGCUCUGUGCUGCAGAGGAGCAGCAGGCAUUGAACUGAAGGUUGGGGGAUGUUGCGUGCUUUAUCUGUGUGUGCAGACAGCGCAGGGCUCACAGCUCCGCACCUGUUGGGUCAUAGCUGUCCCUCCCCCAUGUCAAAGUGGCCAAGGGCACACAGCCCCACGUUCUGCUCCCACGGAGGUUGGUGAGGAGCCCCGGUGCUCCCAGGCUCUGCCCAGUGCUGGAGAGCGGCGCUGGGUCUGAGAUGCGGGCGGCUGAGCUGCCCCCACUCCAUCGCCGAGCGGUGCGGCGCAAAGCAGCACUGACACCUGCCAGGACGCGGACGUUCCCAACUCUUCCCACAGAGCACAGCAAAGGCAGAGCGCGAUGGGGAGCGGAGGGGGGAGGAUUCCUUUCUGAAGGUUCCAAACACCAAAAGCUGUGCUGAAAUCCGAAAAUCUUCAGCUAUGGGGAAAGAGAAGGAAAUACCUCGAACUGUCGCAAUGCUGCACAUGCUAAGUUUAGAGCGCCUUUCAGCCUUCAGUCCUCCCUUUCUGGAAUCAGAUUGUGCAAUUUUUUUUCUCUAGCAAAUAAAUGAGUUUUGUUUUUAAUGAAGAAAUGUUAAAUCUCCCUUAUAUUUCACUUUGAAAGAGCUAUAAAAGUGAAAUGUGGAACUCAUUCUUCCAUGUGGAUGAUUAGAAGCCCGGAGUACAUCUGUUCCACAUGAACAACUGCAGGCUUUGCUGUCACAGAAGGACCUCUAUUUUUGUACUUUCCAUGUAUUCCUGCUGAUUCCAUUCCUGGGUUCUGCACUGCAAAGGCAGAAAAAAGUCACAGUCCAGACUGGAAUCGAACUGCAAGCACUCCAAAGUGAAGGGAAAACGCUCUGAUAUUAACCUAAACUGCUGUAUUUAACAACAGUGAGUUUGGUGCAGCAGUAUCAGGGCUCACAGCUGAACUGCUGCUGGGAAACCAGAGGAUCCUCAUUAGAGCUGCAGAGUAAUUGCAUAAAUACAGCACUUGGAGUUAUGAUCUCAUUUACAGCUGUGGAGGAGCCGCGCUCUGCCGGAGCUGCAGCACCAUCCGCUUCGGUGCAAGGCAGCCUUCAGCCUCCAGAUCAGUAUUUCACCCCUCCUCCAGAACAGUGGACACCUUUCUGAGCUGCUGAGAGCCGGGUACGACUCAGAGUUAUGAGGAAGCGUGUUUUGAAUCCCAGCGAUGUUCCUGUCUGAUCAGCACCGCGUGGCUUCGUGUUUGCUGUCCUCUGUUGGUAUCUGCGCUGUCCUCUGCUACCAUCUGCUCUGACCAACAAACCUCACUGCAGCCCCAACAAACCAACUGCAGCCCGGCUGCAGGCGGCGCAGUCUCGGUGAGGGCUCCCAGCACAGCGCAGUGCUCGGGGGAAUGGGGUGGGGGGACCCGAAGGACACGGAUGAACCACAGCAAUUAAAAACUUGUUUUAUUAAAAAGAUGAAAUGUUUUCAAACAUUGAAAAAACCACGUUUUUAUAAAACCAGAAAUAGGCAAAAUACCCAUUUGUCUUCUAUUUACAUAUACAAUAUUUCUCGCUGUAUAAAAUUAUUUACAAUAUAUAAAAAAAAUUACAGUAAAAUAGGUUAUUUUCUUACAAGACGUCAAGCCCUGUAUUUCUAGUGUAGAUCAUGGCAAACAUGAGUAUUAUUGCACCUGUGAAACAGACAGUCUAACAAUAGGAGUGUUCUCUUAGCCAUGCCUUCAGCCAAGAUCUAAAAUAACACCGAGCUACAGCAACGCUCACUUAAUCUCUCCUAGGGUCAACUUCAGGCAGUUUCCAUACAAACAUUGUCUCGUUAAGCUUGGGGCAGUUAGAGCCGGAACAGAAAAAACGAUAUUUACAGCUUCUUCUAUACAAUCCGUGUGGAGCCUCACGGAGUUCACCCUUCACAGAAGCUGCAUAAAUAACCCCCCGUCCUCCCCGCCCGGCGCGGGCAGAUUCGCGGACGCCGCCUCGUCAGGUUCUGUGCAGGAGACGACUGCUGGGCCUCCCUGUGUCCAAUCCUCGGCGGCCGGAGCGCCGGCGCCUCCCCACGUAGUACCAGCUACAGGUUCGGAGCGUCCUGCACCUGAGCAGCUCACAACGGGCACUGUCCGGUGGGCCCCGCGGCUACAUGUGCCGCUUCAUGUGCAGGGCCAGGUGGUCCGACCUGGAGAAGGCCCGGUCGCAGAGGUGGCACUGGAAGGGCCGGUGCCCG
rnacentral:lncRNA from 1 species